UCGGGAAUUUUGGGCAAUGGGCGAAAGCCUGACCCAGCAACGCCGCGUGAAGGAUGAAGUAUUUCGGUAUGUAAACUUCGAAAGAAUAGGAAGAAUAAAUGACGGUACUAUUUAUAAGGUCCGGCUAACUACGUGCCAGCAGCCGCGGUAAUACGUAGGGACCAAGCGUUGUUCGGAUUUACUGGGCGUAAAGGGCGCGUAGGCGGCAAUUCAAGUCAUCUGUGAAAUCUCCGGGCUUAACUCGGAACGGUCAGAUGAUACUGCUUUGCUAGAGUGCAGAAGGGGCAAUCGGAAUUCUUGGUGUAGCGGUGAAAUGCGUAGAUAUCAAGAGGAACACCUGAGGUGAAGACGGGUUGCUGGGCUGACACUGACGCUGAGGCGCGAAAGCCAGGGGAGCAAACGGGAUUAGAUACCCCAGUAGUCCCUGAGCGGGC
rnacentral:rRNA from 1 species